CAGGCGUUGCUUCGGUUAGUAGUGUGCCCUUUAAAUUUUGUGAAAAUAUACAAAUUUUAGGCCAUAUAUUACGUCUUCAAUUUGAAAUAUUAUAAAAUGAACAAAAGAAGGAAAUGUUCAUAAUUUUUUUUGCUUUGAGAACGUAAGUCCGGCUAGCGUAGUUAUUAUAAUGUGAAAGUUUUUAAAAUAAGUGACAUGUUACAUUAUAGAUAAUUAUUCACCCCCCAAAAAUUUUUGAAAAAAAACUUAAUCCUGAAAUAAGGUAUUAUGAAUUGCAUUUAGCAUGCAUAGCAGGAGGAGUUCCGUUUACUUGCACGAGUAAAGGUUUGAAAGACAAAGGUACUACGAAAGUGGAUUGUCAUGUCCAUAUUAAAUUACGUGCAUUUGAGGAUGGUAACGAACUCGUUGUUACAAGUGUUAAUAUGGAUCACAGCAGCCAUGAUCUCUCUCAGACAGUGUAUGAACAUCAAGCACCAGUCAGACGACUCAAGGGGAAAAACGAGAGGAGGUGAAAGAGUUAAUAAAAUUAGGAUGCAAUAAGAACUAAUUUAGCAAAAGAUUUAUGAUGAAACAGGAAAGCGACUAACUUAUAAAGACUUGGGAAAUAAUCAAAGUAAAAUUAGGAAAGAGUUAAAAGGGAUCUCGGAUAAAUAAAUAUAUAUAUAUAUAUAUGACUAUGAUGUAUUCCACACCAAAGUGAGCUAACGUUCAUAUUCUACACGAUGAAGCCGAUAUUUUUCUACACCCAACAUGAGAGAAACUGUGGCAGCAUGGCCAUAUAUAGUAUUUAUUGAUGAGACUGUUUUAUACAUUUGUAUUUGGCAUACAUUGAAAACUUUUGGGCGGCAAAUAACAGUAGAAAAAAUGAAAAAAACCUCUAGUGAACGAAACUUGUCAUUAGAAUUUCUCUCUAAACUACUUUAUAGUAAAUCUCCGGAAGAUUAUGAUGAAAUUUAUAGCUCAUUUUGUGAAUUCGUCCCUGAGUCAGUUUUAGAAUAUUUUAAUAAGAUUUGGCACUCCAUAAAGUCUGAGUGGACUGUUCACAACAUGACAGUAGGAAAUGCUGGACAUAUUACUAACAAUAAGUUGGAAAGCAUAAAUGGUAAAAUUAACCAAACUGUAAAGAAAAACAGCAAUAUAACAUUAUUUAUUCACAGUUUUAUGAUAUGGCUCAAUUGUCAUAGAUACAACAAAGAUCACAAAGCUGCUGAUCAAGUUUUGAAAAAGUCAGUCAAAGAUUACGGAGUAGCAUCUGAGUACAUUGAAUUUUUGCAAAAAAAAUUGGUAUAACUAUAUAAAAGAACAAAUGGAACUCAGCAAAAAAAUUACCGUGAUUGAAGAGUUAUGAGGAUCGUAGAUCGUAUCGUGUCUUGUAGACAUAUUUUCGUCAUAAGAAGAUUGGAAAAAUUGUCUCUUUUUGAUAAAUUGUUAUGUAACGAAAGAUUCACCAAAGAAUAUUAUUUAAAUAAUCAAAGAGUUAUGCGUGACCAUUUUAGAAAUACCGAAACCAACUGUGAUAAUGUAAUUAAUAUAGAAGAGAACAAUAAUGAGGUAAAACAAAUUCCUCCUGUGAUUAAAGGUCCUCGAACUAAAACAUUGACAGGCUUGUGCUCAGACGAAAGACACUACGAGAAAAUAAAAUUAUUAAAGCAAUUGGAUGAAUAUUGGAGAAAGGACUUGAACGUAUCCUUAUUCGCGUAUCCUGAGAAAAUUAGCGAAAGUGUAGAGCAAAAUUUAAUCAAUGAAGCCAAUGAAAAAGAAUAUGCAAUAAACUAUAAAACUAAAGGAGCUGCAAUGUUAGAUUUGAAUAAGUUAGAUAAUAUUGUGACUAGUUGUGCUGAAUUACACAUUUCUUCUGACACCUCACCGAAUUAUACUUUAGCCGACUAUAUUGUAGAAAAUGGUAUUUUGAUAGCAGUACAUAAAGUUCAUUCUGAUUUUUUUUUUUAUUUGUACCAAAGAAUACAGCCGUAAGAAUAUCAUUUUCGGCACUAUGUGUAUACAUUAAUUUAUGAAAGGAUAAUAAAAAUAAAAACAUAUAAUUUAAAAAAAAAAUAAAAAAUACAGUAAUAACCAAAUAGUAUUAGUUAAUGUAGAAAAAAAGGAUAAAAAAGAAACAGUUUAAAGAACAAAAAAAGGUAAAAUAUUAAACAAAACUCAAAGAGGUGAUCCUAUCUUUUCUGUAACAUGUAGGUGACAAUAAGUUUAGCAAAGGUACUAAUAUUUGUGUUGAAAAAAUCAAAGUCAGAUUGCGCAUUACUACAAAUCUCAUUUAAUUCAUUACACAUGACGUACAUUGGUGAAAUAAAACCUAUAGAUGAAGUAGGCCUCGGUAAAUUAAAAGGUAACCACUUUCUACUGGUUUUGCGAGGUACUCUCAAAUUAAUUAUAUAAAGUAAUUCAGAACAAUCGAUUUUAUAAUUUAAUAAAGCAUAUAUAAAUUUACAUUUGGCGAUUGUUAGUCUUUCUUUCAAUGUAACAACGUUAUAUUUGGUACAAAGCUCCAGAUAAUCCGACCCUCUAGGCGGAUAAAAAUUAUAUUUCUGAAAAUUGCAAUAUUUUAAAAAUCGUUUUUGUAGACCUUUAAACAUUAAAAUAUCUUUAUCAUAGAUGGGGUCCUAAAGUAAGGCUAAAUAUUCGAUUUUAGAUCUAAUGAUCGUAUUAAAUAAAAGAAUUAAAAUGUCAGCUGACUUAAUAUGUUUGGUUGAUCGAAUAAGGUAACCCAAAGAUCUGGACGCUUCUUUAUAAAUUAUUUGUAUAUGGUUAGAGAAGGAUAGAUUGGAUGAGAAAGUAAUUACUAAAUCACGAAUAAUAUUUUUCCUAGGAAUCAAAUCAUCGGAAGCCUUGUAAUCAAAAAGCAAGACAUUAUUAGAAAUAGCGAAUGUUACAACGUAACAUUUAGACGGGUUAAGAUCAAAUUUAUUUAUAUUACACCAUUGGAGCAAACUAAUAAUGUUUUUUGUAAAGUACGACAAUCUGCAUCAGACUUAAUAACUGAAUAAAUUUUUAAAUCGUCAACAAAAAGUGAAUUAUUUACAAUAAUUUCGACGACGUCAUUAAUAUAAAUUGUAAAAAGGAUUGAUCCAAGUGUAGAACCCUGCGGUACUCCAGAAGUAGGGGUAAAAGGGGGGGAAGAGAAACCAGCAUAUUGAACAAAACAAUUACGAUUAGUUAGAUAAGAAAAGAGCGUUUUAAUAACGUUACUAGGCAAAUGUAAAUCUAAUAAUUUAGAAAAUAAAAUUUCAUGAUCAACUUUAUCGAAAGCUUUAGAGAAAUCUGUGUAAAUAACGUCGACCUGAGAGCCCGAUUGCAAAGCUUGAUUUAUAAAAUUAAUUAAAGACAGAAGGUUAGUGCAAGUUGAUCGUUUUGCAAUGCAACCGUGUUCGUUAGGGGAAACAACAUAAGAAAAAGCAUUGGUUAAGGUUUUAAGAAUUGACUUUUCAAAAAUUUUUGCAAAAUUAGAAAUAAUAAAGAUAGGUCAAUAAUUUAGGAUAUUUUCAACAUUAUCACUCUUAUAAACUGGAACCACUUUAGUAUAUUUCCAGAUUUCUGGAAAGUAACCUGUUUGUAAUAUUCUAUUAAACAUUUGACAUAAGAUGUCACUCAAUAUAAAACUGCAAUCUUUUAAGAUAAAGCUAGGAAUUUCGUCAGUACCUGAUGUUAACUUUGGUUUAAGAGAUUUUAUAGCUUAUAAUAAUUCGUUGCUAGAUAAUUGAUAAAGUAAAGAAGAAUUUGGAUUUAUGUAAAAAUUUAGGAGGUCAUUAUUAAAAGUAGAGGGAUUGUAAACUGAAGCAAAGUGGGUUGCAAAACCAUUAACGACACUUUGUGGAUCACUCAAAACAAUAUCUUUAUAAUGAAGUUGAUCAGGUAUACGUGGUUUUUUCUUAGACUUAUUUAUAUGACUCCAAAAAGCUUUUGGAUUACUUUGCAAUUGGGCUUCAAUGUUUGCGUGAUACUGUAGAAAUUUUGAAGAAGCUUUAGAAAAAGAUGCUUUAGAUGAUAUUAAAUGGCCAACUACUAUCAAAAGACGUGGACGUCCAAAACAUAGUGAAACUACAGUCGCAAUUGGAUUAAGGAAAAAUCGUCAAGUAAAAAUUCUAACUUCAUUUAGACUUCUUAAAGAAACAGAAAAAGUUGGUGUUAUUUUAAGUUGUUAUUUAAAUUGUUAUUUUAAGUUUAAUAUCGAAAGCCCAGUUAACUGCAGCUUUAAAUGGCGAUUAUUUAGUUGAAGAAACAGACCUUGAAAUGCGACCAGAAUUUAUAAAGCACUCGAUUUACGACGAAGAAGUUGAUUUAGAACUAUUAAUACCUUAUAUGACUAAAACUGCAUAUCAGGGUUUAAUGAAAACUGUUGAAAUUAAAUUAAAAAGUAAGAAAUGGCUUUGCGAAGUAUGUAAAGUAUCUUCUGAUACAGAAAUGAGUAUUGUAUGCGAAAGUUGUCUUUAGUGGUAUCACUUUAAUUGUGUCAAUCUGAAAUCUGCACCAAAGAAAAAGUGUUGGUUCUGUUGUAAUUGUUCUUCCUAUUAACUAUUUUUAAUAUUUGUUUAAUUUAAAUGCGUUAGACUGAAAUUUGCACCACAUAAAUAUCUUGGUUCUGUUUUAAUUUUUCUUCCCAUUAACUAUUAUUAUUUGUUUAAUUUAAUUGCAUUAGACUGAAAUUUUUACUAAAGAAAAAGUCUUGCUUCUUUUUUAAUUAUUUCUCGUUAUUAAAAUUUAAAAAUUCAGUUAAUGUUAAUCAAUGUGUUGAUAAAAAUGAAUAAAAUAAUUCUAUUGUAAAAUCUUCCUUAUGCUACUGUAUUGAAAGGAAAAUAAAACAAGUUUUAUAAAGAAAAGCAA